ensembl:misc_RNA Y_RNA Y RNA
GGCUGGUCUGUAGGUAGUGAGUUACCUUAAUUGUUUACAGUCAGUUAUAGAUCAGUCUCUUUGUUCUGCUCUUUCCUCCCUUCUCACUACUGUACUUGACUAGUCUUAA